rnacentral:tRNA from 1 species
UGUGAUGUAGUUCAGUUGGUGGAAUGCUUGCCUAACAUUCAUGAAACUGUGGGUUCAAUUCCUAGUAUCUUAU